UACGAAGGGGGCUAGCGUUGCCCGGAAUCACUGGGCGUAAAGCGCACGUAGGCGGACUCUUAAGUCGGUGGUGAAAUCCUGGAGCUCAACUCCAGAACUGCCUCCGAUACUGCGAGUCUCCGAGUCCGGGAGAGGUGAGUGGAACUGCGAGUGUAGAGGUGAAAUUCGUAGAUAUUCGCAAGAACACCAGUGGCGAAGGCGGCUCACUGGCCCGGUACUGACGCUGAGGUGCGAAAGCGUGGGGAGCAAACAGG
rnacentral:rRNA from 1 species